ensembl:lncRNA
GGUGACCAGUAGGUCCAGUGACCAGUAGGUCCAGUGACCAGUGAGGUCCAGUGAUCAGUGGGUCCAGUGACAGUGACCAGUAGGUCCAGUGACGGUGACCAGUAGGUCCAGUGACGGUGACCAGUAGGUCCAGUGACCAUUAGGUCCAGUGACCAGUAGGUCCAUUGACCAGUGGGUCCAGUGACAGUGACCAGUAGGUCCAGUGACAGUGACCAGUAGGUCCUAGUUAACGGGUUCGGGUUAGAUCUCUAUGUCGG